rnacentral:rRNA from 1 species
AUUGAACGCUGGCGGCAGGCCUAACACAUGCAAGUCGAGCGAGCGGCGGACGGGUGAGUAAUGUAUGGGGACUGCCCGAUAGAGGGGGAUAACUACUGGAAACGGUGGCUAAUACCGCAUACUAUCGGAUAACCCAUAUGGGAUUUGCUAGUAGGUGGGGUAAAGGCUCACCUAGGCGACGAUCUCUAGCUGGUCUGAGAGGAUGAUCAGCCACACGUGACCUGAGACACGGUCCAGACUCCUCCGGAGGCAGCAGUGGGGAAUAUUGCACAAGGGGCUCAAGCCUGCUGCAGCCAUGCCGCGUGUAUGAAGAAGGCCUUAGGUUUGUAAAGUACUUUCAGCGGGGAGGCGUUACCCGCAGAAGAAGCACCGGCUAACUCCGUGCCAGCAGCCGCGGUAAUUC